AGGGGUCUAGAAGACAAGAAAAGAAAAUGUAUCAACUUGUAAAUUAAACGAUGUAAUAAUUAGAUUGUAAUUUGGAAGUAAAAUGUAACUGAGAUGUAUUAAGUGAAUGCUUGUAAUAGCUGUUAGUUUUAUAUAUUUGAUACUUCCUUAUGCAAUCUGGAUUGAUAUCCGUUCCUUGUUGGAACAUUCGUUGAUUGUUUGGAUUGCGACGCCUUGGACGUACUGGAGAGACUCUGUCUGCGUACAGGGAAAUUUCCGGUCCGUCUGGCAGUCUGUCGGCGGCGCCG
rnacentral:lncRNA from 1 species